AAAAAAUCUCUAAACAGUAAAACGAAAUCCUUAAGUCGGGUUAUGGGGGAGUGUAGUUUUUUUUGACUGCACUAAUAGUUCAUAAACACCACACAGGAAGUAGGAAAAGAACUACAUUUCCCAUCUGCCCUGGCUGUCACAGGCUGCUUUCCAUUGCCCUAAGGAGUGAUUCUACUGCGGCAACGAGACCAAAUACAACGAAAGAAGACGGAUCUUUUGGUAGGCUGGUUAAUGAUGACCACAAGCACCCAAAUGGCAGAAUGCAGAAGACUGAAGUGGAUGGAAGCCCACAUCUUGGUCUGUUUGCUUUAACAGACUUUAAAGAAGGUGAUGAAAUUGCCUACAAUUACGGAGGAGGAGACUGGCCUUGGUGUAGCAAGGUAUGCAGGGUAUCUCCCUCUCUGUUUUCACAAUUUAAAAAUUAUUAAAAGAUAAACAUUGUCUUAUCCGGCAGUGUUGCGAUUCAUUUUUGUUGCACAACUAAUUUUGUUGUUGUGCAUUAACAAUAAAAUUAGACAUUAUUGUUCAUCUGAUCUGCUUCAGGUAUUUUACUGCCACGUUUAAGCAUGAACUACAAAACGUGUGUGUGUCUGAAUGCACCGUAAUUAUCCCAAAGUCUUCCAAAGUAUCCCAUAUCUAACCCUGAAAUAAUAAACUUAAUUCCUAUAGUGAAAUAAUUAUUGUUUUUG
ensembl:lncRNA